AUGCACGCUGGCGGCGUGCCUAAUCCAUGCAAGUCGAGCGAACAGAUGAGGAGCUUGCUCCUCUGACGUUAGCGGCGGACGGGUGAGUAACACGUGGAUAACCUACCUAUAAGACUGGGAUAACUUCGGGAAACCGGAGCUAAUACCGGAUAAUAUAUUGAACCGCAUGGUUCAAUAGUGAAAGACGGUUUUGCUGUCACUUAUAGAUGGAUCCGCGCCGCAUUAGCUAGUUGGUAAGGUAACGGCUUACCAAGGCAACGAUGCGUAGCCGACCUGAGAGGGUGAUCGGCCACACAGGAACUGAGACACGGUCCAGACUCCUACGGGAGGCAGCAGUAGGGAAUCUUCCGCAAUGGGCGAAAGCCUGACGGAGCAACGCCGCGUGAGUGAUGAAGGUCUUCGGAUCGUAAAACUCUGUUAUUAGGGAAGAACAAAUGUGUAAGUAACUAUGCACGUCUUGACGGUACCUAAUCAGAAAGCCACGGCUAACUACGUG
rnacentral:rRNA from 1 species